rnacentral:snRNA from 1 species
GGGUGACCUGCAGCAUCUGUCACCCUAUUGAUCACCAGGGUUGAUUCAGCGGAUCUGGCUAGCUAGGCAGGUGUCCCCUUCUUCACCACUCCAUGUGCAUCCCUCUUAAAGCUAUGCGCUUGGUGGAAGAGGACACCUAUCCCCAAUAGAGGAAUACCGGUCUUCAGUCAAGGGUAUACCAGUAGCUGCACUCCCCUGCUAGAACCUCCAAACAAGCUCUCAAGGUCCAUUUUUAAGAGAACAUAUGGUAGUCAUGCCUCCAAGACUCCAGACACUCCAAAUGAGUUGCUGCAUGUGGCAGUCUACCUUUCUUU